UACGUAGGGUGCGAGCGUUAAUCGGAAUUACUGGGCGUAAAGCGUGCGCAGGCGGUCUGUUAAGACCGAUGUGAAAUCCCCGGGCUUAACCUGGGAACUGCAUUGGUGACUGGCAGGCUUUGAGUGUGUCAGAGGGAGGUAGAAUUCCACGUGUAGCAGUGAAAUGCGUAGAUAUGUGGAGGAAUACCGAUGGCGAAGGCAGCCCCCCUGGGAUAACACUGACGCUCAUGCACGAAAGCGUGGGGAGCAAACAGG
rnacentral:rRNA from 1 species